rnacentral:rRNA from 1 species
ACCACGACGGACAAGUCAUGAGCACCUCCUUGGAGCGUAAUUUCCACUGAAUGGCGGGUAGAAUCCUUUGUAAAUGACUUAAAUAUGCGACAGGGUAUUACAAGUGGUAGAGUGGCCUUGCUACCACGAUCCACUGAGAUUCAACCCUUUGUCACUUCGAUUUGUCCCUCCCCUAUCGCCGAUCUGAUCUCUCAUUGCUGCCACGAUCCACUGAGAUUUAUCCCGUUGCUCUGAUGAUUCAUGAUAACUUGACAGAUCGCACGACCUUUGUAACGGUGAUGCAUCAUUCAAAUUUCUGUCCUAUCAACUUUCGAUAGUAGGAUAGUUGCCUAUUAUGGUGGUGGCAGGUGACAGAAAAUUAGGGUUUGAUUCCAUAGCGAGAGCCUGAGAAACGACUACCACAUUCAAGGAAGGCAGCAUGCGCCAAAUUACCCAAUCCUGACAUAGGAAGGUAGUGACAAUAAAUAACAAUAUCGGGCUCUAUGAGUCUUGUAAUUAGAAUGAGUACAAUCUAAAUCCUUUAACGAGGAUCUAUUGGAGGGCAAGUCCGGUGCCAGCAGUUGCGGUAAUUCUAGCUCCAAUAGCGUAUAUUUAAGUUUUUGCAGUUAAAAUGCUCGUAGUUGGACUUAGGGGUGUGUCAGUCGGUCCGUCUCACGUGAGCACCGGUCUGCUUGUCUUUCUUGCCGGCAAUGCGCUCCUAGCUUUAAUUGGUCAAGUCGUUCCUCUGGCGUUGUUUCUUUGAAGAAAUUAGAGUUUUCAAAGCAAGCCUACACCUGUAUACAUUAGCAUGGGAUAACAUCAUAGAAUUUCGAUCCUAUUGUGUUAGCCUUCGGGAUUUGAAUAAUAAUUAACAGGGAUAGUGGGGGCAUUUGUAUUUCAUAGUCAGAGGUGAAAUUCUUGGAUUUAUGAAAUACAAAUAACUGCAAAAGCAUUUGCCAAGGAUGUUUUCAUUAAUCAAGAAUGAAAGUUGGGCACUCGAAGACGAUCAGAUACCGUCCUAGUCUCAACCAUAAAGGAUGUCAACUAGGGAUCAGUGGAUGUUACUUUUAGGACUCCACCGGCACCUUAUGAGAAAUUAAAGUCUUUAGGUUUCGGGGGGAGUAUGGUUGCAAGGCUGAAACUUAAUGGAAUUGAUGAAAGGGCACCACUGGGAGUGGAGCUUACGGCUUAAUUUGACUCAACACGAGGAAACAUACUAGUCCAGACAUAGUAAUGAUGGACAGACUGAGAGCUCUUUCUUAAUUUUAUGGGUGGUGACGCAUGGCUGUUUUUAGUUGGUGGAGGAAUUUGUCUAGUUAAUUUUGUUAAGGAAUGAGACCUCAGCCUACUAACUAGCUACACAGAGGUGAUCCUUCGUGGCUAGCUUCUUAAAGGGACUAUGGCCAUUUAGGCUAAGGAAAUUUAAGGCAAUAACAGGUCUGUGGUGCCCUUAGAUGUUCUGGGUCGUACGCGCGCUACACUAAUGCAUUCAACGAGUCUAUAGCCAUGGGUGACAGGCCCGAGUAAUCUUCAAAAUUUCAUUGUGAUGGGGAUAGAUCAUUGCAAUUGUUAGUCUUCAAUGAGGAAUUCCUAGUAAGCGCGAGUCAUCAGCUCAUGUUUACUACAUCCCUGCCCUUUGUACACACCGUCUGUCGCUCCUACUGAUUGAAUGGUCUGAUGAAGUGUUCAAAUCAAGACGACGUGGGCAGUUCAUUGCCUGCGACAUCGUGAGAAGUCCACUAAAUCUUAUCAUUCAAAGGAAUGAGAAGUUGUAACAAGGUUUUAUGUAGGUAAACCUGUGGAAG